rnacentral:rRNA from 1 species
GACGAACGCUGGCGGCGUGCUUAACACAUGCAAGUCGAACGGAAAGGCCCUGCUUUUGUGGGGUGCUCGAGUGGCGAACGGGUGAGUAACACGUGAGUAACCUGCCCUUGACUUUGGGAUAACUUCAGGAAACUGGGGCUAAUACCGGAUAGGAGCUCCUGCUGCACGGUGGGGGUUGGAAAGUUUCGGCGGUUGGGGAUGGACUCGCGGCUUAUCAGCUUGUUGGUGGGGUAGUGGCUUACCAAGGCUUUGACGGGUAGCCGGCCUGAGAGGGUGACCGGCCACAGUGGGACUGAGAUACGGGCCAGAAUGCUAAGGGAGGCAGCAGGGGGGAAUAUUGCACAAUGGGCGGAAGGCUGAUGCAGGAACGGCGGGUGGGGGAUGACGGCCUUUGGGUUGUAAACCGCUUUCGGCUGUGACGAAGCGUGAGUGACGGUAAUGGGUAAAGAAGCACCGGCUAACUACGUG